GUGCUUUGGCAGCGCAUACACUAAAAUCGGAAUGAUACAGAGAAGAUUAGCAUGGCCCCUGUGCAAGGAUGACAUGCAAAUUCAUGAAGUAUUCCAUAUUUUU
rnacentral:snRNA from 1 species